ACGGAAGGCAGCAGUGGGGAAUAUUGCACAAUGGGGGAAACCCUGAUGCAGCGACGCCGCGUGAGUGAAGAAGUUAUUCGUAAUGUAAAGCUCUAUCAGCAGGGAAGAAAAUGACGGUACCUGACUAAGAAGCCCCGGCUAACUACGUGCCAGCAGCCGCGGUAAUACGUAGGGGGCAAGCGUUAUCCGGAUUUACUGGGUGUAAAGGGAGCGCAGGCGGCCAUGCAAGUCAGAAGUGAAAGCCCGGGGCUCAACCCCGGGACUGCUUUUGAAACUGUAAGGCUAGAUUGCCGGAGAGGUAAGCGGAAUUCCUAGUGUAGCGGUGAAAUGCGUAGAUAUUAGGAGGAACACCAGUGGCGAAGGCGGCUUACUGGACGGUAAAUGACGCUCAGGCUCGAAAGCGUGGGGAGCAAACAGGAUUAGAUACCCUGGUA
rnacentral:rRNA from 1 species